CCCAAUCUCCACUUACUCAUCACAGAACGAGCCCCUCUAAACGGCCUGGGGUAGACAAGAGUAGAGUCAAAGAGAUCACUGGGUCGUUGCAUGAGUCAACUCCUCCACCAGAAGCACUAUUUGGAAGUUGAAACGAAAUCACGAAGCGAACGUUUCCUCUGGAGGGAAAACGGAGAGCGCGCUCAGGGGGACUUAGCUGGGUCCGCAGUCUCCGAGCAGCGCCAAGUCCGCCGAGGGAGGGCAGAGGCGGGCGCGGGGCCGCGGCGGCCGGGGAGCUGCUGGGCGCCUGGAGCGCGGCGCCCGCGGGCGGCUCUCGGCCCUUCCCCCGCACCACGGUAAUUGCGUGCGGGCUUUAAUUAAGGAGGAGGAGCCCGGCUGCCGACUGAGACGUAGAAGUGAUUUUUUUUUUUUUAAAGCGGGGACCUGACUUCUAAAGAGAUUCUAACCUGUCCCCGCACUGGAUCUCCCACCCUCGCGGAGGAGCGGAGACAACGGUGCGUGCGUACCUCGCUUCCUGUUUGAUUAACUCACGCGCCCGCCUCCUUCUUUCUCGGAGGAGCCGGGGAGCAACCGCAGCGCAGCCCCGAGAGGGGGCGAGCGGAACCCAGCCGGGCUAGCCCGACCGCGGCGCGCGUGUCUGCGCCGCCGGCUCCUUGUCGGCACCUCGCCGGCCCGCGGCGUCCAGGGAAGGGCCGCAGGACGAAUGUUGCCCGGGAAACGCGGAGCGUCCCAGAAGUGUCCAGAAGUAUUCCUCAGAAAAAAAUGUGCAUAGGCAACGAGUUUCUUGAUAAAAAGUUUCUUCAUCAAAACUACACAGAGGACUUAUGCUUCCAGAUUUCCAUUAGACAUUAGGGAUUUCUUUGAAGAACAGAAAGCAAACAUCACUUGUAAAGUGAGGAGCAAGCUAGAGGAUGGAGAGGGAAGAAAAAUGAUCGCUUCCAUACUGAACUGUCCUGGGAAACAAGGUGAAGAUCACUUCUUUCCAUGAAAAGCUUUGCAGCAACAGGGUAUUGUAAGGACAUAACUUUUCAACCAACUGAGCCACCCAGGCAUCCCAGGACAUAACUUUUCAAACCAGUUGGAGCAAGAGAGAGACAGAGAGAGAAGGAACACAAAUAAGAG